rnacentral:tRNA from 1 species
AAGAAUUUAGUUAAAUAAAUAACAUAUAUUUGUCAUAUAUAAAUUAUCUUCCUAAGAUAUUUCUUA